rnacentral:rRNA from 1 species
GACGAACGCUGGCGGCGUGCCUAACACAUGCAAGUCGAGCGGGGAACCCCUUCGGGGGUUUUCAGCGGCGGACGGGUGAGUAACGCGUGAGCAACCUUUCCUUCACAGGGGGAUAACGCAGCGAAAGCUGUGCUAAUACCGCUUAAGACCACAAUGCCGCAUGGCAAAGGGGUCAAAGGAGCAAUCCGGUGAAGGGUGGGCUCGCGUCUGAUUAGCUAGUUGGUGAGGUAACGGCCCACCAAGGCGACGAUCAGUAGCCGACCUGAGAGGGUGAUCGGCCACACUGGGACUGAGACACGGCCCAGACUCCUACGGGAGGCAGCAGUGGGGAAUAUUGGGCAAUGGGGGAAACCCUGACCCAGCAACGCCGCGUGAGGGAAGAAGGUCUUCGGAUUGUAAACCUUUGUCCUUGGUGAAGAGCAGAAGACGGUAGCCAAGGAGGAAGCCCCGGCUAACUACGUGCCAGCAGCCGCGGUAAUACGUAGGGGGCGAGCGUUGUCCGUAAUGAUUGGGCGUAAAGGGCGCGUAGGCGGCCUGUUAAGUCUGGAGUGAAAGUCCUGCUUUCAAGGUGGGAAUUGCUUUGGAAACUGGCGGGCUGGAGUGCAGGAGAGGUUAGCGGAAUUCCCGGUGUAGCGGUGAAAUGCGUAGAGAUCGGGAGGAACACCAGUGGCGAAGGCGGCUAACUGGACUGUAACUGACGCUGAAGCGCGAAAGUGUGGGGAGCAAACAGGAUUAGAUACCCUGGUAGUCCACACUGUAAACGAUGAAUGCUAGGUGUAGGGGGUAUCGACCCCUUCUGUGCCGGAGUUAACACAAUAAGCAUUCCGCCUGGGGAGUACGGCCGCAAGGUUG